GUUGGAAACACGUUCUCAAUGCAAUAUACUAAAACGAGUGUUCUUUUGUAUAGGUUUUGAUGAAUGACAAACGAAGCGAAAAUUGAUAUAUGACGAAGUUCAAGAAACAAGCGCACAAUUGAUAUACAUUGAGAUUCAAGCUCAAGACAAAGUUUUAUAGUUUAAUUGAGUCAUUCUUAAUUGUGAUCUUGAUCCUACAACUUGACUCGUAACAUGGCUUCUCUCANNNN
rnacentral:lncRNA from 1 species